rnacentral:rRNA from 1 species
UACAGAGGGGGCCAGCGUUAUUCGGAAUCACUGGGCGUAAAGCGCACGUAGGCGGCUUUUUAAGUCAGGGGUGAAAUCCUGGAGCUCAACUCCAGAACUGCCUUUGAUACUGAGAAGCUUGAGUCCGGGAGAGGUGAGUGGAACUGCGAGUGUAGAGGUGAAAUUCGUAGAUAUUCGCAAGAACACCAGUGGCGAAGGCGGCUCACUGGCCCGGUACUGACGCUGAGGUGCGAAAGCGUGGGGAGCAAACAGG